rnacentral:sRNA from 1 species
CAUGAUACUUCUGCUGAGAACCAGCAGCCCUGAGAAACGGGAAAAUGCAUCACCCUCAUUUGAGAAAGAAUGAGGGGCGGCUUUU